rnacentral:misc_RNA from 1 species
UCAAGGAAGGCAGCAAAUCCAGGAAAUGCGGUGGUGUAGGCAUAGAGUAGGGAGUCAGAGGUGGAAGUGAUGGAUUUGAGGCUAGAACUGUACCAGUCGUGGUGGGUGGCGAAUGAUUGAGGCUUGGUGUUGUGUUUCAUGUGGACUAUGUAGACUUGCUUGGCGGUGGCGGAGAAGGAGAGGGCUAGGAGGAGAGAAAGGAAAGAAAAGCAGGCCAUGGAAGCCAUGGCUGUAAAUUGGUUAUGCAGUAGAAUUAGAAAGCAAUGAGAGUGAGAUCGAGUGAUUAUGGUUAAAUAGAG